rnacentral:rRNA from 1 species
CUAUCUACAGACUUAACACAUGCAAGUCGAGGGGCAGCAUGGUCUUAGCUUGCUAAGGCCGAUGGCGACCGGCGCACGGGUGAGUAACACGUAUCCAACCUGCCGUCUACUCUUGGACAGCCUUCUGAAAGGAAGAUUAAUACAAGAUGGCAUCAUGAGUCCGCAUGUUCACAUGAUUAAAGGUAUUCCGGUAGACGAUGGGGAUGCGUUCCAUUAGAUAGUAGGCGGGGUAACGGCCCACCUAGUCUUCGAUGGAUAGGGGUUCUGAGAGGAAGGUCCCCCACAUUGGAACUGAGACACGGUCCAAACUCCUACGGGAGGCAGCAGUGAGGAAUAUUGGUCAAUGGGCGAGAGCCUGAACCAGCCAAGUAGCGUGAAGGAUGACUGCCCUAUGGGUUGUAAACUUCUUUUAUAAAGGAAUAAAGUCGGGUAUGGAUACCCGUUUGCAUGUACUUUAUGAAUAAGGAUCGGCUAACUCCGUGCCAGCAGCCGCGGUAAUACGGAGGAUCCGAGCGUUAUCCGGAUUUAUUGGGUUUAAAGGGAGCGUAGAUGGAUGUUUAAGUCAGUUGUGAAAGUUUGCGGCUCAACCGUAAAAUUGCAGUUGAUACUGGAUAUCUUGAGUGCAGUUGAGGCAGGCGGAAUUCGUGGUGUAGCGGUGAAAUGCUUAGAUAUCACGAAGAACUCCGAUUGCGAAGGCAGCCUGCUAAGCUGCAACUGACAUUGAGGCUCGAAAGUGUGGGUAUCAAACAGGAUUAGAUACCCUGGUAGUCCACACGGUAAACGAUGAAUACUCGCUGUUUGCGAUAUACUGCAAGCGGCCAAGCGAAAGCGUUAAGUAUUCCCACCUGGGGAGUACGCCGGCAACGGUGAAACUCGAAGGAAUUGACGGGGGCCCGCACAAGCGGAGGAACAUGUGGUUUAAUUCGAUGAUACGCGAGGAACCUUACCCGGGCUUAAAUUGCAGAUGAAUUACGGUGAAAGCCGUAAGCCGCAAGGCAUCUGUGAAGGUGCUGCAUGGUUGUCGUCAGCUCGUGCCGUGAGGUGUCGGCUUAAGUGCCAUAACGAGCGCAACCCUUGUUGUCAGUUACUAACAGGUUCCGCUGAGGACUCUGACAAGACUGCCAUCGUAAGAUGUGAGGAAGGUGGGGAUGACGUCAAAUCAGCACGGCCCUUACGUCCGGGGCUACACACGUGUUACAAUGGGGGGUACAGAGGGCCGCUACCACGCGAGUGGAUGCCAAUCCCCAAAACCUCUCUCAGUUCGGACUGGAGUCUGCAACCCGACUCCACGAAGCUGGAUUCGCUAGUAAUCGCGCAUCAGCCACGGCGCGGUGAAUACGUUCCCGGGCCUUGUACACACCGCCCGUCAAGCCAUGGGAGCCGGGGGUACCUGAAGUGCGUAACCGCGAGGAGCGCCCUAGGGUAAAACUGGUGACUGGGGCU